AGUUUUUUAGUUUAAUUGGUGGAAAAUAUUUAGUUGUGGUCUAAGAGAUUUGAAAACUU
rnacentral:tRNA from 1 species